rnacentral:siRNA from 1 species
UCGCCGCGUGCCGGCCGGGGGA